rnacentral:lncRNA from 1 species
GUUCUUUCACAGCAUGUAGUUCAAGCCCUUUCAGAUGGGGAAAGGCUAACUAAAUAGUGUAUGAUAAACUGUAUUUUCAGAGUUGGUAAAAACAAAAUAUACAGGAAAGAUCUCUGAGAAUUCUGAAUGUAACUGGAGAUAGGAUGGGAGGGCUGCCAAAGCAGUCUUGUAUAGGGCUCUGAUAAUGCAAUUUUUAAGUCAAAUGUGAAAAACCUAAUAGGAGUCCAUUGCUGAUACUAAGUACUUCCUCCUGAAACUUUCCAAUCACUUAGAAAACAGCUUUGAUGCAUAUCAUAGCAGAUGCUACCUGUGCUCUGCCUAUAAGUAGUAUAUGUCAGGGCAACCUACCAUAAGCACCCAUGACUCUGCACUUUAGAAUUUUAGCAUAAAGUGCAGGUGCAGCCCUCAGUCAAUGACCACAGGAAAGCCUCCAAGCUUUCUUGUCUUCCUUGCAUGGAAAGACUAGGGUGUGUUUCAUGUUGUCAUUCAAUGGCACUGAGCCCCAUGUACACACAGGGGUAAUCACUCGAUAACACUUCACCUCCAAAAUAAAUUACUUGGACUCAAAUUCUUGUCUCAAAGUUGACUUUUGGGAAAACACAACUUAAGACACUAGUGAACAAAGAGAAGGCUUGAGUCAUAGUCAUGUUGAUUUAAUCCUGCUGAGGUUGUCUUGCUCAAGAGCUUCAAGAAGGAGCUAGACUUAAAUGUGGUUAAAUAGUAUUCAGUGGAGAGGAUUAGGAGUGGCAGGACUUAUAAACUGACUUACUCACUAGGCUGGAGUUACUACUGAGAGCUCAGACUUAGUUGCUGCUUCUAAAAGAAAAUUGGGCUCCAAGGCAGUAGGUAGCAAAACUUAUAGUUUAUAUAAGCAGUUGGCUUCAGGAAUCUGGUACUAUAUCAGGCAGAAGAGUACAGUGAUGGUGAAUUGAGGUUAUAUUUGGAUAACCAGGCAGUGAUGGAGCACAUUGUCAGAAGGAAGCUGGACUCAGACAUGCCAUCAGAUCAGAAAAGCUGUUCAUUCUCGGAGAAUGAGCUGCUGGAACAUGGCAGAGUCCCAUUCUUAGGAAGACCUUGGUUCUAAACAUAAAACAACAUGUGGACUCAGACAAAAUGAAUAAGAGAAAGCCAAACUAAAAGACCAGGGUCAUAAGACAAUGAUUAAGAGCAUAGGCUUUUUAAUCUGAGAAUCUUUAGUUUGAAUCUUAGCUUCUCAAUUCCCUGAUGGGUGACUUUGGGCAUGCUGUUUUAGCCUUUCCUAAUCCAGUUUCCUCACCUGUAGAAUGGGGAUAACAGUUCCUCUCAGAAGGUUGUGGUAGAAUUUCAAUGAUGUAAAUAUAAAGUGGGAGGAAGAGGUUGGUAUCUCACUUCUACAACUGAGUAAGCAGGAACAGCCCAGACAGGUCACACUUUCCACUGGAAUCACAACUUGCAUAGAAUACAGAAAGAAGGUAAUGAUGUUCUAAGAAACAUGAGUGAUCAAAAACCCUAUCACAUCCUUUCUUACUAAUGUCAUUUCCUUGUACCAGCCAACCACUUUUACUGAAAAUGAUGCAUUCCAGGCAGAGAGCAGAAGAAACAAUGUGGCUUAAAAGUACAUGACUAGCUAUAAUAAGCAGGGUAGCAUGACCCAAGAGCAUGGAGUACAUGUAAGUGUGUGUGUGUGUGCGUGUGUGUGUGUGUGUACCGGAGAGUUAGGGGCACAGGGUUUAAGGGAUGGGGUAACAAGUAAAGCUGGAGAGGUCUUA